UACGAAGGGAGCUAGCGUUGUUCGGAAUUACUGGGCGUAAAGCGCGCGUAGGCGGACCUGCAAGUCGGGGGUGAAAGCCCGAGGCUCAACCUCGGAACUGCCUUCGAUACUGCGGGUCUCGAGUCCGGGAGAGGUGAGUGGAAUUCCUAGUGUAGAGGUGAAAUUCGUAGAUAUUAGGAAGAACACCAGUGGCGAAGGCGGCUCACUGGCCCGGUACUGACGCUGAGGCGCGAAAGCGUGGGGAGCAAACAGG
rnacentral:rRNA from 1 species